ensembl:lncRNA
AAAAAAAAAAAAAAAAACCCACACACAAAAAACCUGGAGUGUUAGGAGGAGGAUGAGGAGAGGGUUAGGGCAGGAAGGAGCUGGGUCAGUUUAGUGGGGGCCUCUCACCAGCCCUCCAUCAUGAGGGCCUCUUCCUGGAUUUCUCCGGGGUUGGGGAGGUUGUGAGCAGGAGGCAGGAGGUGGCUUUUCCUCUGUAAGUCGCACACCUUGAGCUCUGCACAGAGAAGGUACCACCUGACGCCCCUCCCCACCCUAACAGGAAAGGAGUGAAAGGGGGGCAGCCCAGGAGAUGUGACCUUCAGGUGGCAUGCAGGAAGGGCAGAUCUGGAGAGAAAGGAUGGCAGAGAUGGCCCUCUCUGCCCCCGCGCCCCACCACCAGGCCCCGAAGGUGAAUGAAGCCAGGCCCUUUUCCCAGGAGCCACCCUUGGGGGAUAGCAGAGCAAGGCUGCCGCUCCUUGCUCUAGCAGCUGCGGGGGAGGUGCUGCUCUGGGCCCUAAACUGCAUCUGCUUCCCCGCCCAGGGGCCCCUGACUCUCUCACUGGAGCCCUGGACUGUUGCACGGCAACCACUUGUCUUAGGCCCUGCUCAGCAGCCAGGCAGACAGAACAACAAAAAUACUAAAAGGAGCUUCACUGCACUGAGCUGUUUCCUGCCCAAACGAAGGGAGUAGUAACGUGUGUGUCUGUGUGUGUCCGUGUGUUUGUGCACAUGUGUAUGUAAGUGAGAGGCAGAGGGGCUCCUGGGCAGGUGGGGGGCUGCGGGGCGUGUGGAGGAGGGCUGUGGGAGCUGACAGUCCCUAGGCAGGCUGUGCACCUCACCUGGGAUGUCGCUCCUUCCUGGUAUUUCCAUGCCGUCCCCAGCACCCAUCUGUUAUGGAGAAAACAGUCCCAGGGUGUGUUUUUGCUCAGUCGUCCAUCUCAUCUCUCCCUGAAACACAGGGCGUUCAACCUCUGCCUCCGUUUCCCCUUCUCGGAGCCACGGAGCCAGUGCCAAAGCCUUUGCUAUGCAUCCCUCAGGCCUCCUGCUGGCACUGACCCUGGAAUGACCGCUGUCACUUCUUGUCCCCAUAGUCUAUACCCGGUGCGUUGAGGGCUAGGAGCAAAACUGCCUGUCUCCUUCCCAUCUUCAUUCCAUCCCUGCUUUUGAUUUUCUGUCUUCCUUGUGGCCAAGCCAGUUGCCAUGGAAACGAGGCCACGCGUCCUCCUCGCCAGCCGGCCGCCCCGCCUCAGACCCAGGGUGCCCCUUGGCACCCCUCUCACCCUCCUCCAGCAUGUCCUGCUGUCCCGACAGCCCAGGGGCGUGCAAAGUGGGGGCGGCUGCAGCCAGCAGGUCUGCCCACCCCCUUCAGUUCAGGUAAUACUGUCGUGAAUCUUCCAGCCGCUGGUUAGGGCCCUGGGCCCCCUCCUCUUACAGCAGCAAGGCAGCCUAGGGCCCCGGGCCUGUGGGCUCCCUGCCUCCCAGCACCCGCUUUUGGGAAAAUGACUUUCCCUCUUUGAGCUAAACCACUCUGUCCAUAUUACACAGAAGCCAUAUUUGUACCGGGGGGCGGGGGGAAACGGGCCGUCGUGUUGUGUGUGUCUGUCUGGGGNNNNNNNNNNNGGGCAGGGAGCAGGGAGGCACCGUGUAUCUUUAUAAUCUUUCUAACUCUCCUGUGCUGAUCUCAGAGGGGCCACCCUCAAUAUAUCUGGAUUAUCCGUGUCCUUCGGCUGCCUCCUUCUUGCCACUCUUGCUCCUGUUGGGAUGCGUGUGUAAGGGCUGUUCUGCACCUGCUGCCUCCAGGGGUGGUGUGUGCCUUGCCAGGCCGCUCUCUCCAGGGCGUCUUGUAUGGAAACGACACAACUCUUCUGUGGGAGAGAAGAGCGUCCCUUCGUGCCCUUUGGCCAGGUGCUUACAUUCCAGUGGUGGGUGGGGUACCUGACUGCUCCCCACUGCCCUCUGCCAG